AUUUUUUUUGGUGCGGCACACCUCAGUUAUUCCAACCAAAGAUUUCCCAGUUCACUCGUGAGGGGCAUCAAUUAAAUAUUUAUCUACCAUAGCUCUCCUCAAUUACUAACAUAUUCUAAGUAAUGCCAUAUAAAAAGUUAGGUCUCUCUUUCUUGUGUCCUUAAUUCCAACAUCCGGGCGAGCUUGACAAAAGAGGCUUUGCAUUGAACAAGAAAUCAAACUUGGUUAUUUAAAGAAAUGGGCCUUGUGCAAGAUUCGGCAUUAAAGCCUAAAUGCAGAAAUGGGCAUGCCUAGCAGAAGGGACCUGUGCUUCAGAUUUGCAGCUUCAUGGCCCAAUUAUUUGAGGGCUAAAGAGGAGAAUGAAGACAAGACCCAAGUUGGGUCUCUACCCUUAAUCAACAUCAGAAAUGUGAAAAGGAGGCUCACCAUGGAACUCCAGCCCAUCACUAACAUGAUUUUUAAUAGAAUAAUUACUAAUUAUGAACUCAACUCUAUCAUGUUCCAAACACUGGGUCCAAAGCAACACUCUAAAUACAUGCUCCUUAUGCUUGCAAUCGAUUUCCAAAUAGCUUCAAAAACAAUUAUAAAACACCAAAUUUACUUAAACCCUUGCUUAUUCCAUAUGAAUGACAUAUAGAAAUUCGUGGAGUGACCUAAUUAAUAAACAUGAAUCUAAACCUUAAACUCGCAAAUGAAUAUGCUUACAAAACAGAUUUUGUGCAAAUAAAUAUCCAUACAAGCCAACACAUAACAUUUCCAUGCAUUCAAAUAGAUAUCAAGACUAAAACUCACUGAUCUUCAGCAGAAACUAAACAAAUUCUGUAAUCCAGAACACGAAAUCAAAACUAAAGUUGAAUAGUUAAAGACUAUGGUCCAUUUGUCAUACAACACCUAUAGAACCUGCUUGUACACCUUUUAAUCAUGUUAUUUAAUAUUGAAACUAAACAGUUAACUAACAACACUAGUCUAGUUUUAUAACAUGCAAGUAACAACUUACUUAACACCUAUCAUUAUAGACCUAUUACAUGAUAUAAAACAACAAAAGAAAUAGAGACAGAUUGAGUCGACUAUAGCUUGUAUUCAAUUAAAUCCACUGAAUUACAUAAUCAACACUUAGUCAUUGUUCAUUGGGCUAAGAAGGAUAUCUGGAAAGCAAAAAUGAGAGAGAAGUGAGAAGAUCAGUAGUAAGCAGCAGCAAAUAACCCAGAUUCAACAACCUACGGUGAACAACCCAUGACAGACCAAUGGAAUAGUUGAAGAUUAUUAGAAAAACUGAUUUCAAACCCAUGCUUAAACCAUAUUUUUGUUCACAGAUGUACAAGUUCAGUGAUUUUUCAAAACUCUAAGUUCCGUAUAUUCAAAGAACCCAAUCGAGCAACCGGAACUAAUUCCAACUUUCAAAAAAUACCAAGUUCAAUCUAUUCUCACCCCAAGUGACUCAAAAUUGGUUCAGAAGUUGAAGAACUCAAAAUUGCAGAUAAAACAUUAAUGAAACUGUGUUUCUGAAAAUUUCUUCGCUACUUUCUCUGAUUUGUUCAAAGUUUUCUAUACUUUUCCUUUAAUAUCUCGAAAUUCCUUCUUCAAGAUCUAAAUUCCCCACUGAAAUCUGAUUUUAGCUUCCCUUAGUAAUGCC
rnacentral:lncRNA from 1 species